AUGGCCUCGCACCUCGACUUUCGCUACCUCGACGAGGGCCUCGGCGGCGAGCGCGGCAAGCGCAAGCGCCGGGAGGAGGAGGCAGAUGCCGCCGAUUCCAUGGAGCUCGACGCCGACGCGCCCCGGCCGUCCAAGCUCCGUGCAGUGGCCUCCCAGUCCGACCCGUCCAAGCCGGCGGCCUUCGGGUCGCCCACCUACGACGGCGUCAUCGCCGGGCGCGUCUCGGGGCGGACAUGGAAGGAGCCACGCACGCGCCGCUCCUCCGCGCUGAUGGUGUCCCGGAAGCCCGUCCCUCUGGAGCAGCGCGUGAGGGACAAGUCCCUGAAGAAGGCGUAUCAGGCGCGCGUGGCGGAGCUCAAGGACGAGAUCCGGCAGAACAAGGUCGCCAAGCGCAAGCAGAAGGAAGAGCGGGAGAAGCGCAAGAAGGAGAACGUGCUGCGCACCGGCUCGAAGCUGCAGAAGGUCACCAACCCCAAGACGAUCCAGAAGAUCGCCAAGUCCAAGAACCGAGGUCAGCUCAGGGUCGUCUCCGACGACAUCUUCGGCGGCAAGAAGUCCGAGGCCGCCCGCCGCAUGCAGGUGCCCGGCCUGGAGAACUGA
rnacentral:rRNA from 1 species